GAUGAACGCUGGCGGCGUGCUUAACACAUGCAAGUCGAACGAAGCUGUUAAAAGGAAGUCUUCGGAUGGAAUUUUAACAGACUUAGUGGCGGACGGGUGAGUAACGCGUGGAUAACCUGCCUUAUACAGGGGGAUAACGGAGAGAAAUUUCCGCUAAGACCGCAUAAGACCACAGCACCGCAUGGUGCAGGGGUAAAAUAUUAAUAGGUAUAAGAUGGAUCCGCGUCCGAUUAGCUAGUUGGUGAGGUAGAGGCUCACCAAGGCGACGAUCGGUAGCCGGCCUGAGAGGGUGAACGGCCACAUUGGGACUGAGACACGGCCCAAACUCCUACGGGAGGCAGCAGUGGGGAAUAUUGGACAAUGGGGGAAACCCUGAUCCAGCGACGCCGCGUGAGUGAAGAAGUAUUUCGGUAUGUAAAGCUCUAUCAGCAGGGAAGAAAAUGACGUACCUGACUAGAG
rnacentral:rRNA from 1 species